rnacentral:misc_RNA from 1 species
GAACGCACCUUGCGCCCUUUGGCUAUUCCGAAGGGCAUGCCUGUUUGAGUAUCAUGAACACCUCAACUCUCAUGGUUUGCCAUGAUGAGCUUGGACUUUGGGGGUCUUGCUGGCCUACGGUCAGCUCCCCUAAAAUGAAUCAGCUUGCCAGUGUUUGGUGGGAUCACAGGUGUGAUAACUAUCUACGCUUGUGGCCUUCCACCAAUUAACUUCCAGCAAUGGAGGUUCGCUGGGGCUCACAAAUGUCUCUCCUCAGUGAGGACAGCUUUUUAAUGUUUGAUCUCAAAUCAGGUAGGACUACCCGCUGAACUUAAG